GACAGAGGGCGCAAGCGUUGUUCGGAAUUACUGGGCGUAAAGCGCGUGUAGGCGGCUAUGCAAGUCGGAUGUGAAAGCCCUCGGCUCAACCGGGGAAGUGCACCCGAAACUGCAAAGCUAGAGUCUCGGAGAGGAUCGUGGAAUUCUCGGUGUAGAGGUGAAAUUCGUAGAUAUCGAGAGGAACACCAGUGGCGAAGGCGGCUUACUGGUCCAUUACUGACGCUGAGGUGCGAAAGCGUGGGGAGCAAACAGG
rnacentral:rRNA from 1 species